AUUGAACGCUGGCGGCAUGCCUUACACAUGCAAGUCGAACGGCAGCACGGGAGCAAUCCUGGUGGCGAGUGGCGAACGGGUGAGUAAUAUAUCGGAACGUGCCCAGUCGUGGGGGAUAACGUAGCGAAAGCUACGCUAAUACCGCAUACGAUCUAUGGAUGAAAGCGGGGGAUCGCAAGACCUCGCGCGAUUGGAGCGGCCGAUAUCAGAUUAGGUAGUUGGUGGGGUAAAAGCCUACCAAGCCUUCGAUCUGUAGCUGGUCUGAGAGGACGACCAGCCACACUGGAACUGAGACACGGUCCAGACUCCUACGGGAGGCAGCAGUGGGGAAUUUUGGACAAUGGGCGCAAGCCUGAUCCAGCAAUGCCGCGUGCAGGACGAA
rnacentral:rRNA from 1 species